AUUGAACGCUGGCGGCAGGCCUAACACACGCAAGUCGAGCGGAUGAAGGGAGCUUGCUCCUGGAUUCAGCGGCGGACGGGUGAGUAAUGCCUAGGAAUCUGCCUGGUAGUUGGGGAUAACGUCCGGAAACGGGCGCUAAUACCGCAUACGUCCUGAGGGAGAAAGUGGGGGAUCUUCGGACCUCACGCUAUCAGAUGAGCCUAGGUCGGAUUAGCUAGUUGGUGGGGUAAAGGCCUACCAAGGCGACGAUCCGUAACUGGGCUGAGAGGAUGAUCAGUCACACUGGAACUGAGACACGGUCCAGACUCCUACGGGAGGCAGCAGUGGGGAAUAUUGGACAAUGGGCGAAAGCCUGAUCCAGCCAUGCCGCGUGUGUGAAGAAGGUCUUCGGAUUGUAAAGCACUUUAAGUUGGGAGGAAGGGCAGUAAGUUAAUACCUUGCUGUUUUGACGUUACCAACAGAAUAAGCACCGGCUAACUUCGUG
rnacentral:rRNA from 1 species